rnacentral:sRNA from 1 species
AGGAGUAGUUUAGUAUUCUGUUGUUCAAAAGAUAACGGAGCUUACGGUGGACCACUACUUCUAUCAUCCACGACACACAAACUUAUAAUUUACUAUGUUAAUGUAAAAGUUAUACUCAGAAAAAAAUAAGCAUAAGUGUCCAUCAGGUUUUGAUGAAAGUCGCCUACCUAGUCAUGGGUUGUCCAUGGCACACUGAGACCGCAAGUUGAUGUGUAUUUUUACCAAAGACCUCUAAGGAGUCGAAUCCUGAGUCAGUUCGCAAGAUUGAAGAGAGUUGAGUAAUGAAAGAGUAGUUAAAACCUUUAGAAGUGAUUGGUCUAACCAAUCGGCGAUGAGAGUUACCAUUCAAAAGAUGGUGGAAAUAAAGGGAACCACAUAAUCCUUUUAAAGAUUCUCAAAAACAGGUGUAUUCUCAACCU